AUUGAACGCUGGCGGCAGGCCUAACACAUGCAAGUCGAGCGGGGUUUUCGGACCUAGCGGCGGACGGGUGAGUAAUGCGUAGGAAGCUAACCGAUAGAGGGGGAUACCAGUUGGCAACGACUGCUAAUACCGCAUAAUGUCUACGGACCAAAGUGUGGGACCUUCGGGCCACAUGCUAUCGGAUGCGCCUACGUGGGAUUAGCUAGUUGGUGGGGUAAUGGCUCACCAAGGCGACGAUCCCUAGCUGGUUUGAGAGGAUGAUCAGCAACACUGGAACUGAGACACGGUCCAGACUCCUACGGGAGGCAGCAGUGGGGAAUAUUGGACAAUGGGCGAAAGCCUGAUCCGGACAUGCCGCGUGUGUGAAGAAGGCCUUCGGGUUGUAAAGCACUUUCAGUAGGGAGGAAGGGUUAAGUGUUAAUAGUACUUAACUUUGCCGUUACCUACAGAAUAAGCACCGGCUAACUCUGUGCCAGCCGCCGCGGUAAGAC
rnacentral:rRNA from 1 species